GACGAACGCUGGCGGCGUGCUUAACACAUGCAAGUCGAACGGAAAGGCCCUGCUUUUGUGGGGUGCUCGAGUGGCGAACGGGUGAGUAACACGUGAGUAACCUGCCCUUGACUUUGGGAUAACUUCAGGAAACUGGGGCUAAUACCGGAUAGGAGCUCCUGCUGCAUGGUGUGGGUUGGAAAGUUUCGGCGGUUGGGGAUGGACUGGCGGCUUAUCGGCUUGUUGGUGGGGUAGUGGCUUACCAAGGCUUUGACGGGUAGCCGACCUGAGAGGGUGACCGGCCACACGGGAAAGGAGACACGGUCCAGAGGGGUAAGGGAGGCAGAGGUAGGGAAUCUUCAGCAAGGGGCGAAAGCGUGACGGAGCAGAGCCGCGUGAGUGAUGAAGGUAUUCGGAUCGGAAAACGCUGUUAUGAGGGAAGAACAUAUGUGGAAGUAACUGUGCACAUCUUGACGGUACCUAAUAAGAAAGACAAGGCUAACUACGUG
rnacentral:rRNA from 1 species